rnacentral:lncRNA from 1 species
UCAAGGUUCUCAAGUGGUGAAGACUUAUUGAGGUGCUACAUAAGUGUGAGGAGAAUCCUAGAUGUUUUGAGUGGUGAAAAUCAAGCUGAUGGAUAAUAGGUCAAUGAUCUUUGCAGUUUGGAUCAUGGCUUAGAUCAAAAUAAAUCUCAUCAGCAAUCAUCUUGUCUUAAAAAUAUCAUUAUUCUGAGCCAACCAGAUAUGAUAAGUAACGUAAACAAUCUCAAUGCUGGC